rnacentral:rRNA from 1 species
UACGUAGGGGGCAAGCGUUGUCCGGAAUCAUUGGGCGUAAAGAGCGUGUAGGCGGCCCGGUAAGUCCGCUGUGAAAGUCCAGGGCUCAACCCUGGGAUGCCGGUGGAUACUGUCGGGCUCGAGUCCGGAAGAGGAGUGUGGAAUUCCUGGUGUAGCGGUGAAAUGCGUAGAUAUCAGGAGGAACACCUGUGGUGUAGACAGCUUACUGGACCAUUUCUGACGCUGAGACACGAAAGCGUGGGUAGCAAACAGG